UCGAGGGGCAGCGGGGUAGGAAGCUUGCUUUCUGCCGCCGGCGACCGGCGCACGGGUGAGUAACACGUAUGCAACCUGGCCGUGACAGAUGGAUAACCGGGAGAAAUCCCGCCUAAUACAACAUAAUGCCGGGAGGGGACAUCCCCUGCCGGCCAAAGGGGGCGACCCCGGUCACGGAUGGGCAUGCGGCGCAUUAGGUAGUUGGUGGGGCAACGGCCCACCAAGCCGACGAUGCGUAGGGGUUCUGAGAGGAAGGUCCCCCACAUUGGAACUGAGACACGGUCCAAACUCCUACGGGAGGCAGCAGUGAGGAAUAUUGGUCAAUGGCCGGAAGGCUGAACCAGCCAAGUCGCGUGAGGGAAUAAGGCCCUACGGGUCGUAAACCUCUUUUGCCAGGGAGCAAUGCCGUCCACGUGUGGACGGAAGGAGAGUACCUGGAGAAAAAGCAUCGGCUAACUCCGUGCCAGCAGCCGCGGUAAUACGGAGGAUGCGAGCGUUAUCCGGAUUUAUUGGGUUUAAAGGGUGCGUAGGCGGCCUGCCAAGUCAGCGGUAAAAUUGCGGGGCUCAACCCCGUACAGCCGUUGAAACUGCCGGGCUCGAGUGGGCGAGAAGUAUGCGGAAUGCGUGGUGUAGCGGUGAAAUGCAUAGAUAUCACGCAGAACCCCGAUUGCGAAGGCAGCAUACCGGCGCCCGACUGACGCUGAGGCACGAAAGUGCGGGGAUCAAACAGGAUUAGAUACCCUGGUAGUCCGCACAGUAAACGAUGAAUGCUAGCUGUCCGGNGGGAUUGACCCCUGGGUGGCACAGCGANAGCGUUAAGCAUUCCACCUGGGGAG
rnacentral:rRNA from 1 species